rnacentral:hammerhead_ribozyme from 1 species
GUCCAGUUGACGUGUCCAAAAUAGGACGAAAUGCGCAUCCUUGAU